CCAAGCCCAACCCAGGGGAGGGACCAGGACCCCUGUCCAAAUGGCCACAAAUACCAGCCGGGACAAGGAGGCGAGGAACAGAUGCUUGGGGAAACCAAAGGAGUGAGCAGAAGAUGGUUUCUUCACACGCACAGAUACCUAUCAAAUGCCAAGUACGUGCCCAACGCUGUCCUAGCUGCCGAGGGUAGAGCAGCACACAAAAUCUCUGCCGUCAGGGUGAGAAGCUUAUCUGCUUCUACAAGGUAUGCGUAUUUGUCAGUGUACCUCUACACCUGUGUGCCUGUGUGUACAUGUCUGUAUCUGUGUAUCUCUGUCUAUGCCACGUGACGACCAUGGGUGUGCAUAAUGACUUGACAGCUGGGAGAGAGAGAAAGCCAGGUAAAGAGGGAUGUGAAGCAGGAGUGCCCGGGGUGGGGGCGGGGGAGAACCUUCCCAGCGCCACAGGAUGGACGUUAGCUCUGUUUUACGGACGGGAGGUGACGUUCCCUAGAGGGCACUUGUAACAGAGAGAGGCCAAUACGUGCUUGGCACCUCCACGAGGACCCGGAGCAGGGAGGUGUUGUCAUUGUCCCCGCUGUACAGGUUAACAAACCCGAGGGCCCACGCGGUCAACAGACUGCCUGAGUCCCAACUUUGCUCCACAUGAGCUGUGUGACCUGAGGCCAAUUGCUUAGAAAUGUGUGAGUCGCAAAUGUAAUUUCUAAUUUUCUAGUAGCCACAUUUAAAUAUAAAAUAAAGAAAAACCCGUGAAAAAAAAAAAGAAA